GAUGAACGCUGGCGGCGUGCCUAAUAUAUGCAAGUCGAGCGAACAGAUGAGAAGCUUGCUUCUCGGAUGUUAGCGGCGGACGGGUGAGUAACACGUGGGUAACCUACCUAUAAGACUGGGAUAACUCCGGGAAACCGGGGCUAAUACCGGAUAAUAUUUUGAACCGCAUGGUUCAAUAGUGAAAGACGGUUUCGGCUGUCACUUAUAGAUGGACCCGCGCCGUAUUAGCUAGUUGGUAAGGUAACGGCUUACCAAGGCGACGAUACGUAGCCGACCUGAGAGGGUGAUCGCCCACACUGCAACUGAGACACGGUCCAGACUCCUACGGGAGGCAGCAGUAGGGACUCUUCCGCAAUGGCCGAAAGCCUGACGGAGCAACGCCGCGUGACAGAUGAAGGUCUUCGGAUCGUAAAACUCUGUUGUUAGGGAAGAACAAAUUUGUUAGUAACUGAACAAGUCUUGACGGUACCUAACCAGAAAGCCACGGCUAACUACGUGCCAGCAGCCGCAGUAA
rnacentral:rRNA from 1 species